rnacentral:rRNA from 1 species
GACGAACCGUGCGAACGUUAUUCGGAAUCACUGGGCUUAAAGGGCGCGUAGGCGGGCUCGCCAGUCAGGGGUGAAAGCCCACGGCUCAACCGUGGAAGUGCCUUUGAUACUGCGAGUCUCGAGGGAGGUAGGGGCGUGCGGAACUUCCGGUGGAGCGGUGAAAUGCGUAGAUAUCGGAAGGAACACCGGUGGCGAAAGCGGCGCGCUGGACCUCUUCUGACGCUGAGGCGCGAAAGCCAGGGGAGCAAACGGG